UACGUAGGGUGCGAGCGUUAAUCGGAAUUACUGGGCGUAAAGCGUGCGCAGGCGGUUUUGUAAGCCAGAUGUGAAAUCCCCGGGCUUAACCUGGGAAUGGCAUUUGGGACUGCAAGGCUUGAGUGCGGCAGAGGAGACUGGAAUUCCUGGUGUAGCAGUGAGAUGCGUAGAUAUCAGGAGGAACACCGAUGGCGAAGGCAGGUCUCUGGGCUGACACUGACGCUCAUGCACGAAAGCGUGGGGAGCAAACAGG
rnacentral:rRNA from 1 species